UAGUAUCAUGAAAACUACUGAACUUAAAACCA
rnacentral:piRNA from 1 species